UCAAACUUGGUCAUUUAGAGGAAGUAAAAGUCGUAACAAGGUUUCCGUAGGUGAACCUGCGGAAGGAUCAUUAACAAAUCUCAAAACAGUUUUGCCCUAAGUCUUUGUGUGUAGCUGUUCAAGCUUUCAUGCUGGCUUUGGGUAUUACAAAACAUACACAUUUUGAUUGACACAUUUCAGAAGACCAAGUAUAUUUAAUUGUAAACAACUUUUAACAAUGGAUCUCUUGGCUCUUGCAUCGAUGAAGAACGCAGC
rnacentral:misc_RNA from 1 species